rnacentral:lncRNA from 1 species
UCGCCUAUCCGCAUUCCACGCCCUCCCACGCCACCAAAGGACAUCAGAAAUGUAUACAAUGCCCCGUUUGCAAUAUUUGAAGAUUGGGAGGGCACUCGUUGGAAAGCCCUUAAAGCGAAGAAAGUCACACAGCCUAGAUGUCUUGAUUGGCCAUUGCUCCGCCGGGUGCAGCUCGACCAAAUCAUAGAGACACAUUUGAAGAGUUUGGGACUUUUCAAGUUUUCCCAAACCACGCCGCCGGGCCUGCUUCCAUUACACUUGGAGUUCCUUUGCACACUCAACAUGACAGCCGACAAGACCCAGCUGCAUUGCCGCAUGCUCAACACGCCAUGCGUCGUCACCUACAGGAUAAUGAGUGAAGCCUUUGGGUUUCACCCUAAAAAAUUGAAGGGAAUGCCGGAUACUUGGGUGCCGGCUAAGGCUUGGAAAGAAUUGACUGGAUU